UUUCAGUAACAAGUCCAUCAGAUGUUGCAGGAGUGAAUUGGCCAGUGACGUUACCCUGGAUGAAUGCAGAUGUAUCAUUGUGACAUCAGGGUAUGAUGUCACAGACAGAAUGAGCUUCAAACCCCAGCAAAGUGAGAGACAGUUAACAGUCAGACCCAGGCUUAAUGCUUUGGAUAUUCGUGGCAGAUGAUGAAAAGGAUACCAAGGGGCAUGGCCAGAAACUAGAUGCUGCCUCUGGAAAACAGCAAUAAAUGUGAAUGCAGACUGGGUAACAUAAAGUCACUUACGUCAUAACAGUGUUUUUGGGAUGAAGUGAAAAGUUGAUUGGGUUUAAUUGGUGAAGAAAUACAU